AAUAUUGCACAAUGGGCGAAAGCCUGAUGCAGCGACGCCGCGUGAGCGAAUAAGGCCUUCGGGUCGUAAAGCUCUUUCCUAAGGGAAGAAACGGACGGUACCUUAGGAGGCAGCACCGGCCAACUCCGUGCCAGCAGCCGCGGUAAUACGUAGGGGGCGAGCGUUAUCCGGAAUUACUGGGCGUAAAGGGUGCGUAGGCGGUCUUUUAAGUCAGAUGUGAAAGGCUACGGCUUAACCGUAGUUAGCAUUUGAAACUAAAAGGCUUGAGUGCAGGAGAGGAGAGUGGAAUUCCUAGUGUAGCGGUGAAAUGCGUAGAUAUUAGGAGGAACACCAGUGGCGAAGGCGACUCUCUGGACUGCAACUGACGCUGAGGCACGAAAGCGUGGGUAGCGAACAGG
rnacentral:rRNA from 1 species